UUUAAUUUUGUUUUCCUUUGUUAGUAUACAAAGAAAAAAACUGUGAAUGAUUGUUGCUGUGUGUCAGUCGGUUUGUGUUUCUUCUCAAUAAAAUGACAAGGGUAUUGUUACGCCACGGCCAGCAGAGGGCACUGCGGUACGGCCGCUGACUGGUCACGUGACUCUUUUGUUUUCCUUCACUUCCCGCUUGGACACUGAGUUAAGUUUAUGUCUCUGAUUUGCCACAGGUGUCCAUGUUUUGAGUUAAUUAGGUUUGUUAGUUAAACCCCCCGUUUGACUGCGUACAUCGCGCGGUAUUAAAGUUGGUUCAGUUCGUCAAGUGAGGGAAGUAUCCGGAUAUAUGCUCAUGUGUAGCAUGCUAGCGGUCGUAGCUAGGGGACCAGAGUGAGUAUAGUCCGUAGAGACCGCGCUCCCUGUGUUUGUUUCUGUUUGUUUGUUUCUUGUUCAAAUAAUAAAGACGGUGACCUGCAUCCGCCUCCAGUCUCGUUCCGUGACAGGUAUAAAUAUGAGGUAACACAUAGGCCUAUCAUUCAUAACAAUGGGUAAGACCAAGGAAUACUGUGUUGUGCAGAAAAAGGUGGCUUCACAAAAGUAUUGAAAAUGCCCAUUUUCACCAUCAUGGCAAUAAUUAAGACGUUCCAGUCAACUGGAAAUAUUAUGAAUUAACUUGGAAUUGGACGUGUGUCUAUAUUGUCUCAAUGCACUGUGAAGAGGAUGGUUCGAGUGGCCAAAAAAUCUCCAAGGAUCACAGCUGGAGAAUUGCAGAAAGUGUCAGAAGGGUCAGAAAGUCUCCAAAACUACAAUCCGAAGUCACCUACAUCAUCACAAGUUGUUUGUAAGGGUUUCAAGAAAAAGGCCUCUCACAAAAACAAAAAUAAACAUCUUCAGUUUGCCAGACACUACUGGAACUUCAAAUGGGAUCGGGUUCUAUGGUCAGAUGAAACCAAAAUAGAGUUUUUUGGGAAUAAACACCAGCGCUUUUUUUUUUUAUGUGCACACAGAGAGGUAGCCAUAUGGAAAAGUACCUCAUGCCCAUGGUUAAAUACGGUGGUGGCUCUUUAAUGUUUUGGGGCUGUUUUUCUGUUAGAGGACCUGAACAUUUUGUUAGGUUACAUGGCAUCAUGGACUCUAUCAAAUAAUAACAGAUAUUAAAUGAAAACCUGACUGCCUCUGCCAGAAAGCUUCAAAUGGGCUGUGGUUGGAUCGUCUAGCAGGACAAUGAUCCAAAAUAUACAUCAAAAUCAACACAAAAAUGGUUUACCGACAACAAAAUCAAGGUCCCAUCCCAGUCCCCUGACUUGAAACCCAUAGAAAAUCUGUUGGAAGGAUCUGGAGAGAUUCUGUAGUCAACAACCUCAUCAGGCAUUGUAGUAGAAUACUAUAGGAGAAGACAAGCUGUUAUCUUUGCAAAGGGAGGUAGCACAAAGUAUUGACUAAAAGGUGCCAAUAAUUGUUGCACACCUAUAUUUAACAAGUAUAUUUUUUUGGAUAAACCUGUUUUGUUUGCAAUCGUUUGCUAUCAAUGAGAGCAGAGUAUUUUUGUGAAUUUUCUUACAAAAGAUCAAAAGGUUAAACAAUGAAGACAAUUUUUCACAGCCUUCUUUGCUCAUAUUUACCAAGGGUGCCAAGCAGUGUGCCCAACCCACACAAACGUUGUCUUGGCAAUGAGGAUGCUGAGGCCUUUACCCUAUUGCACUUUAAUUACCAUUUGUACCACAUAUUUCUGUAUUAUUUGUGUGUUGCUGCAGUUCUGGAGGUACACACAAUGUAAAUCACUGUCAUUGGAUCAGAAACACAUGAAACAUGCCCUGAAUAUGGGUCACAAUGUGUCGAGCCACAGAGUGAGUCGUGGAGGAGGACUACAUUCACACUCUUUCCAUCUGGAGCUAUAGUGGGGUGUAUAUACACACUUUUCCAAGGUACAGCCAAUGUGAAUCACUGUCACUGGGUCUGAAGCUCAUGAAACAUGCACUGAAUCUGGGUCACAAUGUGCAAAGCCAGAGUGUGAGCCAGAGAAGCAGUGGGGGAGGACUGCAUCUCACACUCCUUAAAUCUGGAGCUGUGCUGCAGCAGAUUACAGAGCAUGCAUUACUAAACACUAACAUCAAAUGGGCACACGUUACAAAGAUUUUUCAGCACACACAAUGUUCAUUGUAGAAAGUACAUAUAUCAAUAUAUUUAAUGAAACAUUAGUCUCACUCCCCUCCCAGCCCAAUGUGAAACAAUGUUAAGUUAUUGUUUUGGAAACAUCUAGAAUAUUUCUGGUCUGGUGUAACAAAACAUGUAUAACAAGUAGUUCUGUUUUAUGAAUAAAGUCAUACGAAUGAUAUGGGUUUCAUCCACGAAACAAAUAUUUUCAUAUUAGGCUUGUGUGAUAUUGAUUUUUCCCUGUUAAAGAUUUACCAUUUAAAAAAUCUUGUCAUCUGGAACUGCUUGCCAUCUAGUGGCAAUCACAAAAACUCAGCUGGAUGCUGGAUUUUAAGGUGGUUCUGUGGUAUUGAAUAGUAAGCAAUAAUAAAUAAAUAAAGAAAUUAUAAACAUUGCAGUACAUUUUCAAUCUAGUUAUUUUACAAAGCUGUUAUCACAUGUCCACAUGGCUGACAUUUUUCACUGUUGAUUGGCUGCUUCAUGCAUCUGACCCCUUAAAGGUGCAGACGAGCAAAAAAAAAAACCCAAACAAACAAAAAAAACCCCACAGCUUAUUUAAUCACCUUCUAAUUAUAAUCACCAUUAACAUUACUUGUAAAGUGGUAGAUACACUGUACACCUAUUUAAUCUUUUUUAGGUCAAAAUGUUCCUGCUUUAUUCUGUUGCAUGCCAUUUUUUUUCUAUUUUUUUGGGCACAAUGUUUUGGUGGUGUCCAUAAUAAACAAGUUAACUGAUGUUAAGUAUAUGCUUCUUUAGUGUUAGCUAAACUGAACAUAUGUUGAUAGAUUUUAUUUCAUAUUAAUGAACUUAAAGCAUUCUCCAUUUAUCUUAGCAAUAAGUGAGUCUAACAAGGGCGUGUGAGAUAUGAGGAAGGGGUUGGGCUUCAAGCUUUUGUUGACUAAUAUUGGAGAAUUCAAAACAUGUAUUUCAAAUGUUAACACGUAAUUACAGAUUAAUAUGCUGGUUGACUCAACUGUUUCACUGGGGAGAAAAAAAUGCUCUUUUGGCAUAUACGAUUAUCUGCCUAAGCCUUGUACUGCCUGUUCGCCUGAUCGUCUGACCACUGCCUGCCUUGUGACUACCCUUUCUGCCUGACCCUCGCAUUUCGAAAUCAUUCCAAACUGUGCUUGCUUCCGUCUCAGGUACUGUAGCAUAACAGAUUACUUUGCCGUGUUUUAGAAGCAGCAGGUGAGCCAGAAUGGCAUCAAGCCUUAGACAGCCACGGAAGAGCGAAAAACGUCCACGAAUACCAGCUAUCUAUCCUAACGGAGCAGGUGGCUUAUCUGUCUCAAUCCAUGCUAUGCGCUCCCCUGCGCAGUUUCCUCCACUGCCGAUGCCGGAAAGGUAUGCUGGAGAGCCAGAGCAAUGUAAAGGGUUCCUGCUACAAUGCUCUCUGGUCUUUGCCAGCUACCCGGACAUGCCGGAUCACACACUUCCUGGAGCUUUUAACUGGACGCGCUUUGUUAUGGGCUACAGCAGUGUGGGAGCGGGAGGGCGGCACUAUCGUUUCGCUAGAGGAGUUCAUUACACAUUUCCCGCAUUCCUUUGAUCACUCUCCCGACGGAUGGGAGAUGGGAAAGGAACUCAUGAGAAUAACGCCGGGCACACGUGAUGCUGUGGAGUAUGCUCUCGAGUUUCGUACCAUCGCGGCAAGGAGUGGAUGGAGCAAACCGGCCCUCAAGACAGCGUUUUGUCAGGGACUGAACCCAGAGCUGGUGAAGGAGUUAACCUGUCGGGAUGAACAACUCUCCCUCAACUUCACGAUUCAUCUGGACCGAUUGCGCCAGACCAACCGCCCGGCGCUGCGUGAGCCCCAUGUCCCCGUGCCCCCAUGCCAGGAACAGCUGUGGAACCCAUGCAGCUUCACGAGGAGGAGAGGGAGAGGCGUCGCCGAGAGUUCCGCUGCUUUUACUGCAGAGAGGACAACCACCUCGUCCAUCAGUGCUCUCUCAAGACGCCUCUCAAGAGUGGGAACAACAGAGCUCGGCACCAAUGGUGAGUUCCAACCAAUUACGUACUACUCAUGUAUUCGUGCUACUUGUUAUGAUCGAACACUCAGGGGUGUCUACUGUGCUCACAGCACUGAUUGACUAAGGAGCAGCCGGUAACUUCAUCGAUCAGAGAACAGUGCACGACCUAAACCUUCCCGUUCGUCCCCUACUCCAGCCACGUCACAUCCAGUCCAUCGAUGGGUCCCCCGUAGGAGGAGGGAUCAUCUCUCACUCUACAGCACUUCUUGUACUCCAGGUCAGUGCCCUCCAUAGUGAAACCAUAGUCCUUUACGUCACUGUCUCAGCCCGGCACCCCGUCAUUUUAGGCCUCCCAUGGUUGGAGCUCCACAAUCCCCAGGUUUCUUGGGCGGACAAACAGGUCAUCCAGUGGUCUCCGUACUGCCACAAUAACUGCCUGCAAUCCCCAGUUAUCCCAGUGGCAGCCACGACAGUGGAGAGUCCCACUCCACCCAUUCCAGUCCGAGUUCCUCCCGAAUAUCAUGACCUCAUGGAAGUAUUCAGCAAGGAGAGGGAGAGCAGAUUACCACCACACCUAUGAUUGCACAUUUGAGCUCCUACCAGGAACCAGCCCACCGCGAGGUCGAGUGUACCUGCUCUCUCAAGCCGAACAUCAGGCCAUGGAGGAGUAUAUUCAUGAGGCGCUCCAACGGGGAUAUAUCAGACCUUCCACGUCUCCCGCCUCAGCAGGUUUCUUUUUGUGGAGAAGACGGUAGGCAGCCUUAGACCAUGCAUAGACUACCAGGACCUGAACCAAGUUUCUGUUAAGUAGAGUUAUCCCUUGCCACUGGUACCCGCAGCCCUCGAACAACUAAGGUCAGCGAUCAUCUUCACCAAGCUGGACCUACGUAGUGCCUUAAACUUGGUCUGCAUCCGGGAGGGGGACGAGUGGAAAACGGUCUUCAGUACCACCUCAGGUCACUAUGAAUAUCUGGUCAUGCCUUAUGGGCUCUCUAACACCCCCUCAGUGUUCCAACGUCUCAUUAAUGACGUUCUAAGAGACAUGCUGGGGAGGAGCGUCAACACGUACAUAUACUUUGCAUCCCUAGAGGAGCAUGUCGGCCAUGUCUGGCAGGUUUUGCACCGUCUCCUGCAGCAUAAGCUUUACGUAAAGGCCGGAGUUCCAUCGACACAUGAUCUCCUUCUUGGGAUAUGUCAUCAGCCCGAAGGGGGUCACCGUGGACCUAAGUAAGGUUCAGGCAGUGGCGGAGUGGCUCAUGCCACGAACUGUCAAGGAGUUUCAGUGGUUCUUGGUGGGGGCCAUCCUAUCACAGAGAUUAGGAGACAAACCAAAACUUCACCCCGUGGCUUUCUUUUCCCGUAAACCAUCCCCAGCGGAACGCAACUAUGACGUGGAGAACAGAGAACUCUUUGCGGUCAAAUUCACCCUGGAAGAAUGGAGGUAUUGACUGGAGGGCGCCACACACCCGUUUGUUAUUUUCACUGAUCAUAAAAACCUGGAGUCCAUCCUUUACUCCAGGCGCAGGAGAGGCAAGCUGGAGUACCUUGUCGACUGGGAGGACUAUGGUCCAGAGGAGCAGUGCUGGGUCCCACCAUAGGAUAUUCUGGACCCAAACCUGUGUAAGGACUUUCAUGCCACUCACCCAGCGAAACCAGGACCCCAGAGGAGGGGUAGGCCUAGAAAGGACUCGGGUCCUGGAGUGAGCCCUUUUUAGGGGGCUCUGUCAUGUUGUAGUGAACCAGCAACUACAAUUCCCAGAAUGCAACACAAACUACCAACAUUGCCGACGAGGACUACACUUCCCAUAUACACACGCGCGCAUCUUCUCCGGAGUUCUGAUCACACACACGUACACAUGCGCGCGCGCACACACACAGUAUUUAAGUGACAGUUAAAGCAUUACUAGCUUGCGAAGUAAACGCUCAGCAGCCUCGUCUCUGCCGUGAACCAAGCCUUAGUUUCCAUAUUCGCUAACCUGGUUUUGAUAUUUGAUAGUUUCUUGACUACGAUUAUCUGCCUAUUACUGCCUGUUCACCUGAUCAUCUGACCACUGCCUAACUUGUUUCUACGCUUUCUGCCUGACCCUCUCAUUUCAAAGUCAUUCCUACCUGCGCUUGUUUCGUCUCAGGUACCGUAGCGUAACACAUGCUGGACAAGAGCUGUCUCUCCAGUGGAAAUAAAUCUCCCACACACCACAGAAAACUUCCAUUUUUUCCACAACUGCAUUAUGAAAGAUCACGAUUCUGGGGGGAAACCAUAAACUAGCCUUGUUUAUAACCCCGUGACCUCAGAUUAUUCGGUCAUUAUGGGGAAUGAACAGCAAGGGUAUUCAGCUAUGCCAAAGGUGGUGGAGGGGCUUGCAAACUACCUCUCUCCAUUGACGGCAGGAAAAUUAAAGCCACCUCAGCUUUGGUUGGCAAAGCCUAUGCAGCAGCAGGUCUUCCUUGUGGGUCACUGCAUACAGUGGCAGUUUUGUAGGCCUACCAAGCAGACCUGCUGAACGAGCUCGACAACGGGGAGGGAAUUAGGACAAAUCCCUGGUGCAGUGAAGCUGCCACUGCCGCGGGGCAGUGGCAGCUUCACUGCACUAGGGAUUUGUGUCUCCGGCAACCAAGCAAACAGCCCAUCAUAUGGACUAUUCAAUGGGUAGUUUGCUUGUAGCGGAGAGGCAGAUAUGGCUCAGCUUUUCAGAGAUGAGGUAUAAAAGGUAAGGUUUCCCUGCUGGAUGCCCCUGUUGAACCUUUCAGUCUGCAAGGUGGAGUGGUUCGGUGGAACGGCAUCGCCAACAUCUAAGGAAAAACCCCUGAGAGUAAUCAGUGUCACAUGGCGAUGCCUACAUGCUGUGAAAAUUUAGAGGUGUCCCCGGCUUUUAGCCUCGGGUCACAAACUUGGGGCAUCUCCUAAUCGCAAGACGGUAGUGACAGGUGCCUCCCUCACAGGCUGGGGCAUUGGGGCAACUAAUUCUUCUCUGGGCAGAGGGAAAGUUUUUGUCAGUGAGUGCAAUGUACAUUCCGGGCAACCGAAAUGUGGGGGCAGACAUCCUGUUGGGGCAGGGGCUGAGGCCUGGGGAUUGGCGAGUCCAUCCACAAGUGGUAGAGUCCAUAUGGCAGAGGUUCGGCCAAGUGGAAGUGGAUGUGUUCGCCUCCAAGGAGACAACACACUGCCGACUGUGGUUCACCCUCACUCAUCCCGCACCAUUGGGGCUGGACGCCAUGGUGCACACGUGGCCGAGGUCACGUCUGUAUCCUUUUCCCCUGAUCGCCUUGCUCCCACAAGUUCUAGCGAGAGUUCGCCAAGACCGUCUACAUCUGCUGCUAGUAGCACCUUAUUGGCCAGCUUGAAUAUAGUUCUUAGAGAUAAUAUGCCUGCUAGAUGGCACUCCUUGGGAGAUUCCCAUUCACAGGGAUCUACUAUCUCAAGGGUAAGAGUUGAUUUAUCACCAUCAUCUGGAACUAUGGAAACUGGGUCUGGCCCCUGAGGGGCACCAGUUCAUAGAUUCUUGUCUCUCAACUGAGGUUGUAGAGACCAUGUUGAACUCUAGAGCAUAAUCCAUGAGAAAAUUGUAUGCAAUCAAGUGGUGACUUUUUGUCUCGUGGUGUGAGGAACAUCAGUUAGACCCAGUAAACUUCUCAAUAGCUACAAUCCUGGAAUUCUUACAAGGACGUUUCUCAGCAGGGUUGGCUCCUUCUUCAAUCAGCAUCUACGUGGCCACCAUUUUGACCUGCCAUUCCCCUAUUGAUGGAGCUUCUGUGGGGCAACAUCCUCUAACAUAGAGGUUUAUGCUUGGUGUCAGGCAGCUGAGGCCCAUGUGCAGAUCACGCAUACAUUCCUGGGAUAUUUCUGUGGUCCUGGAAGGCCUGUCUGGUGCCACAUUUGAGCCCUUAAGCCCUGUUCACACCGGAACGAUUUUUGCAGAGUGAAAAAUGGUCCGUUUAACGCCUCAAUGGUCGUCACUGGGAGUGUUCACACCCACGUGUAAAACACGUGGUGUCAGAGCUUAAUUUUUUUUUAACGUCAAGGGGUUAAUGACCAACAAGAUUCACGCUUUUGUUCACAUGCCCGGAGCCGCUGAAGUUACAUGAAUGUGUGACGUGAUGGCUCGAGUACAAAACUGUCUUACAGAUGAAAAAGAAGCCGAAAAAGUAGAUGAAGAAGAUGCCAGCACCCACCAUUUUAGUGAGUGUGCAUGAGUGACAUAAGUGAAAUAAAAUGCUCACUGCUAAUAAAUUCCUUCUGCCUAUUGUAAGGAUCCGGCUAGAUCCUCUUGGGUUUCGCAGGAAAGUUGAUAUAACUCAGCCGGACACAAAGUGAAAGUGCUGUUCUUCGUUUAUUACACUGCAGGAUACCAUAGGCUUACGCAUGGUUACAGGUCGGUCAUUAGAAGAGGAUUAACAGAGUAAACAUCCCGAAGAUGAUACAUUAACGUGAGACAGCGUGUCAACACCACGAUGUAUAGGUCACAGAGAGGGAGAACAGGGCGGCGACCACACCCCUUGACCCCACAUGACAUCAUCAUAGCCGAUCAUUACAGUACACACAUAAACAAGGUAUCCUUUGAAUGUACUAGAUUCAAAAUUACACACUAAGUACUAAAUAAUCUUUUAUGUUGUGGCUAUUUUUUGAUGACACUAAAAUGCAAGCAUAUAUUCUAAAUGAUUCAUUUAAUUCUUUCAGUGUUGUUUUCUACACUAAAUAUCAUUGUUUGUUUCUUUGUCUCUUCCCUGCAAAUGAUAAUCCGCUGAUUGACAGAUUUAAUUUUCACCUGACAUAUAUAUGCAUGGUCACGGGGGAACCUGGAGCCUAUCCCAGGGAGCAUCGGGCACAAGGUGGGGUACACCCUGGACAGUCCAUCGCAGGGCACACAAUCAUUCACACACUACGGACACGCCAAUCAGCCUACCAUGCAUGUCUUUGGACUGGGGAAGGAAACCGGAGUACCCGGAGGUAACCCCUGCAACAAGGGGAGAACAUGCAAACUCCGUACACACAGAGCCGUGGGAAUUGAACCCCAACCCUGGCGGUGUGAGGUGAACGUGCUAACCAGUAAGCCACCGUGUGCAAAAGAGAUACCAGUCUUUUAUAUUAUCCAGACAAAUUUCAAGUAUUCAUACAUUAAAUCUAAUAAAUGUCCUCAUCAAUUUAUAUGAUCCUUAUCAUAUCCUAUUUCUUUGGGUUUUUUUUUUCUUCUUAUCAAUUAAAAGGACCCUUCACAAACCAGAGCAGGCAAAACAACAUAUAUUUACAUAUGUUGAGCUUGGGUAUUGUUCAUAGCUUGAAUCGUAUCUCGUAUCCAGUUCAAAAUAAAGAAAACCCACCCCUAAAUACAAAUAAAAUACAAUUAGCACAAAGUAACUAUUGAAUUUACAAUAUCCAAUAAGAAUGAAAAACAUCAAGAGAGAGUUGCACUUACAUUUUCCCUAGCAUGAGUGGUUUAUCAUCAGUCUCCAUUUAAAUCAGGUUACUUGCACAACUUCUCUCCAUGGAAGGCUUCAGCAGGAGAUUCAAACAUUCCAUAAACAGCGGGAGAGUAGGACAUCAACGAGAGUAAAAUGAACUGAGCCAUGUGAAACGCUACCAUGUCUCCUGACACCGGACAUUUUUCUUUCCGCUAUAGUGAUGACGUCACAUCCACCUGCUUGUUAUUUAAAGGGAAACACCGCUUUCAUUAGUGGAGUUCAUCACAUGAAGUUCGCUACAGUGUGAAACAGCAUAUUCUGAUGUUGUAGACUGAUGUGCUCAUCUGCAAUAAAGAAUCCUGAUACUUCCAAGAUUCCUGGUCAUCCCUACAAAUUCCCAAUAAUAUAAAUAGAUUUUAUCCAAAUAUGGAAUUACAGUGUUCAGUUGGGUGUUUUACGAAUGAACAGUGUCAUAAACAGAGCUAUGGUUUCGUUUCUCCUGUGAUAAAAGCAGUAUGUGACUACAGAUCAGAUGUCUCUUACUGCUUGUUACAUAUGUACCUUGUAACAUGCUAUAUUGAUUCUAGGCAGUUUUUAUUCCAAGGAGCUAGCAUCCUGCACUGAGAUACUGAGAACUGAGCCAAAAGUGUGGUUCAUUGUCUCAUACAAGAAUCUCCGGUAUGCCAUGUCUGGCAAACAAUGAUUUGAAAUGCACCACUACAUCUUCAAAUAUUGUAAGGGUGAGUUUUGCAAUUUCCACAAACGUUGAGUAGUAGUCUACAUCUAGCAGGUAAUUACUGUGGUUCAAUGUGAAAAUAACAGCCCUCAGUGUCUGCCAUGGUGUUUCUGGUGACUUGCAUGGCCUGAGACGUUGCACAGGGUUGGCAUACAUGCUAACAGUUUGUCACAAGCUCAUUCAUUUUACUAUGCCCAGAUGUCUUUCAUGAAUUUUCUCUAGGACACUGUUUCACAUGGAAAGCCUUUAAGAAGAAGGCCAUUGUGACACAUUAGUGAUGGUCGCUCUGGCCAGUACUGUAUCAGAACUCCAUCCCGAGUGGUGUGGAUUGGCCAUCCUGUUUGACAUAAUGCCAUGACUUUGGGAAAGACGGUGUCUGCUUAGAUUUCAAACCAUCCAUCCAUCUUCUACCACUUACUCCUUCUUCAGGGUCACGGGGGAACCUGGAGCCAAUCCCAGGUAGCAUCGGGCACAAGGCGGGGUACAGGGUGGCAGUCCAUCGCAGGGCACAAUCACAUGCACACUCACACACCCAUUCAUACACUACGGACACUUUAGACACACCAAUCAGCCUACCAUGCAUGUAGGUAGGAGAAAACCGGAGCACCCGGAGGAAACCCCCGCAGCACGGGGAGAACAUGCAAACUCCGCACACACAUGGCCCUGGCGGGAAUCGAACCCCAGACCCUGAAGGUGUGAGGCAAACGUGCUAACCACUAAGCCACCAUGCGAUUUCAAAUCAAUCAAUUGGUCACGCACACAACCAUACACAGUAUGACAUGCAGUGAAAUGCCUUUUACCACUGUCCAGUGACAUAAAAGUAAAUUUACAUAAAAACAGAAUUUAGUUUCAUGGAAAAAGAACAUAUAAAAUUGUAGAUAUAAAAUAUAUAAAAGAUAGACAGAAAAAUAUUUAAAGCAUAUAUUCUUAUGAACUGUAUGUGGCAUAAAGUGCAGAUAAGUGCAGCUGUAUGAGCUGAGGUAACUGCAGCAAAAAAGCUAAUAAUACUAUGUAUAUAUAGUAUAUAUAUAUAGUACCUCACAAAAGUGAGUAAACCCCUCACAUAUCUUUUCAUGUGACAACACUGAAGAAAGUGAAUGUACAGCUUGUAUAACAGUGUAAAUUUGCUGUCCCCUCAAAAUAACUCAACACACAGCCAUUAAUGUCUAAACCACUGGCAACAAAAGUGUGAGUACAAAAGUGAGUAAGUGAGUCUUUUACUGCUGCACAUGAUGAAACAGAAAGUCCAUCGAGAGUUACUAUGAGAUCAGAAAGCUUACUUCUAGCUACACGUGGUCUUAGUACAAGUACUUCUGUCUUAUCAGAAUUAAGUAAAAGGAAGUUAAUUAGCAUCCAAUCUAAUGUCCUUUACACAUUCCUCAACUUUACUAAGCUGCUGUCCGUCCUCUGGCUUUGCUGAAACAUACAUCUGUGUAUCAUUAGCAUAACAAGGAAGCUAAUUCCAUGUUUAUGAAUAAUUUGACCUAAAAGUAGCAUAUAUAAAGUAAAAUGCAGUGGGCCUAAAACAGAAUCUUGUGGAACACCAAAUUUAACCUCAGUAUGUGUGAAGAAGUCGCCAUUUACAUCUACGAACUGAUACCAAUUGGUCAAAUAAGACCUGAGCCAGGAGAGGACUGUUCCCUUAAUGCCAACAACAUUUUCUAAUCUAUCAAGGAGAAUAGUAUAAUCUAUAGUAGCAAAAGUUGCACUAAGGUCGAGUAAUACAAGCAACGAGACACAACCCUGAUCAGCGGCCAGUAGUAGGUCAUUUACUACUUUACCUAACGCUGUCUCUGUGCUAUGAUGAGGUCUAAACCCUGACUGAUACAUUUCAUGAAUGUUAUUCCUAUGCAAGUAUGAGCAUAGCUGCUGUGCUACAACCUUUUCUAAGAUCUUGGAGGUGAAGGGGAGAUUUGAUAUAGGUCUAUAGCUGGACAGUUGAGAGGGUUCAAGUGUAACUGGUUGUAGUCUGCAUUGUGUGUUUUAUUUUAUUCGAAGAAAAAUAGGUGGACGGCAACUGGGUCGACUCUUUGUUUAUUCUCUCUCCUCUCUCUCACUCCCAUUCAACCAUAACGUGAAAGGGCACCUCUCCCAUUCAACCAUAAUGCGAAAGGGAAGAGGAGGAGCCAAAACAGGAAAUUAUACAAACCAAUGACAUCAUGACAAUUAAAAGGAAAAAUACUCAGACAAACAGACAGCCACAUCAGAUGCACAUCCUUUUUGUGUAAUUCUACACAUUAAAUUGAUGGAAUGUUUUCCAUACCCGUUACACAAGGUCAGGUUUUUUAAUCAGGGGUUUAAUAAUUGCUAAUUUAAAUGAUUUACGUAAAUAGCCAGUGCUAAAGGAAGAAUUGGUUAUAUAUAAAAGCGGUUCAAUUACUCCAGGAGAAAUCUGUUUAAAGAAACAUGUAGGUACAGGAUCUAGUAUGCAAGCUGAUGAUUUCGAUGAAAGAGAUUAAUGUAGCUAGUUCGGUCUCUCUAAGGGGAGUAAAACAUUCUAAACUUUGAUCUGAUAUUGCUAUAUUAUCAUCUAUAGGGUUAGUUAUAAUACUGUCUGGUUUUAAUUUAAUAGCCUGAAUUUCACAUAUAAUAUUUUCAACUUUACCAAUGAAAAAUUUCAUGAAAUCUUCGCUGCUAUGUAAUGAUUGAGUGCUUCUUUCUGUAGUGGUUUUAUUCCUGGUUAAUUUUGCUACCAUGUUGAAUAGAAAUCUUGAAUUGUUUUUGUUAUCUUCUAUUAAGGUGGAGAGAUAGACUUUUCUAGCAUCACUAAGAGAUUUUCUAUAGUUCAGUAGGCUCUCCUUCCAUGCUAUUUGAAAUACUGCCAAUUAUGUUGCCAAAGUUAAUGUUUUAUUUUGUCUUUUAAAGUUUUCGCUGAUGCGACACCUGUCUCCACAGUGACACCUAGUGGUCACUUGCAGGUGUUGAUCUGAAACAUCCUUGAAAACGAUUCAGACAGGCAUUGACGAAUUAUGACCUACAUGUUGUUUGCCUCAAACAUCGAAGUGUGUGGGGCAUGUUGCUGCCUUGGGUUCGAAUCCUGGGUGAUGUCUGCUAUCCACAUCAUUAUAAGAGAUGUUUAAAAAUUAGUGAGUUUUUUAAUUGUUGUUGUUGUUGUUUUUUUUUAUGUGUUGAGUUUUUAACAACUGUCUGACAACUAGGCUACAUGAGCUUGGUUUUGAGCCUGUAGGCUCUUCAUUGUAAAUAUCUAUAUUUAAUUCUGGUCAUGAAAAAUUAAGAUUAAUAAAUGCAAAACUGUCCAAAUUCUUUCUUGCCUAGGUAAUAACCCACAGCAUCUGGCCAUGUCGUCUUUAUUUUUAUCAGGAAAUUUGGUGGGAUUUCACGUCAGAUUAUUAACAAGGCAUCCUGAGGCGAGCACUUACCAUGGAUCAGUACAAACAUUAUUGAAUCAUUUCCGUUUUAUACCGGAAAACAGUUUAACUUGUAUAGUAAACACUGAUUCAUUGGUUCACCUGGAGAUCAGCACCCCCUAGCGGUGAACCAUGGACAAACGUUUCGAAACAGUAUUACGUAAUGAAGCCGCGUUUGCUGAAAUCACGUGACUUGGCCAGUUUGAUAAGCGCUCCGAACCACUGAUUCGAAACAAAAGAUCCAUAAAGGUUUCAAACCUUCAUAAAGCAGUGUUUUGAAAGCGCCAAUCACUAUUAAAUAAGAGUGUACCAAAAUACCGUAUACAUGUAAUUUGCUAGAAGGAUUAAUAUGGGUUUAAAGAAGUCUUCGUCGGAUUGAGCCUGCAGGGCGGCGUUUCGGCACUGCUGCUUUUUGUCUUCGGUCUGUUUCUGGCAUGACGUGGCGUGCGUGCAUGCUUGAAUUCACCUGUGUGCUUGUGUGACAUAUAAGCUCGAUGGGUGCACGUGGUGGUAUAAGAUGUUUCCUACGGGCGGAGGGUGUUGUGUUGGUAUAUAGCACUGCUAAACUUGACUGUAAUUUAUGUGUUCGAGCUUGUGGGAACGCUGGAGUGUGACUGCUUAGUUAUGCUAAGCCAAUUUUAAUGAAUUGUGUUUAAUACUACAGUGUUAAAUAAAGACAUUUGUAUAUAUCCUCGUCUGAGACCAUUCCAUGAACAACAGACCUGUGUGCCCGUUUUGGGUGGUUAGGUUAAUUUCACUGUAUAACAGGGUUAUUAUAAAUAUAUAAUAUAUAGCUACCCGAGUGUUCAAACACGCACUCUGCCACAAUACUAAGAACAAACACAACAAACAUGAAGACAAACCUUUUUACUCGGGUAAAGAUUGGGACAUGUGUCUGUUGCCUAAACUUCAGCUGUCCGUAUACCGUCAUCUAAUUACAAUUACAAAGGCUUGACUGGUCUUUAUUUUGUAAUAUUUAGAAGUACUUGCAAGUUACCAUGGUAAAUUACAUACAUUAAAAUCAUAGGCAGAGUUGCAAAUAGCACAGGCAGAUAACGCAAAAUGUCUCUCACAUGUGCGGUUUGAAUGCAGUUUAAAGGUGUAACCAGAAAAAAAAACCCAUCAUUGAUUAAUUCAUUCCACAUACAUGUUGUAAUCAGAUAAAGUUUAGAAAAAUGCUUGGAUAAAACUUCACGUUACUUACCAGUGUGUGGGAUAUUACUGUGCUAAUGUAGUGUUCGUGUGCUUACGAACUCAAGCGAGCUCAAUCACCCCUUUGCCUGAUUAAAACACGCAAUAGGCCUACCGAUAACCGAUUAUUCAGUGUGAUAUUGGCCAAUGCCGAUAGUUUGGUGGUUUUGCCUUUUAUACCUUCUUUUAAAUUAAUAAUAAAUUGUUUCACAAUAACUGGUCUCAUAAACAGAAAACACAUUACUUAAAUAAACAUUAAAACGGUAACUAAGUUCUGAAGAUUAAAGUCACUCACUCACCACAAACAAAAGCAUUUCUGCUUCUUCACUGAACAUCAAAAUGGUAAUAUAUAAUAGAACUUUGUGUAAAGAUGAUGAGUCUUGUGUGGAAUGACAACAAAAUUGCAGUUUGUAAGCUCUGCACCGCUAAACUUUUACACUGCACGCUGCAGCAAAGCUGAAGCAGUGCGUUUUUUUACGGCGUGCAUGUUAACAAAUGAGUGCUUUUACUGUGCAGUAGUAAAGAGUUGAGUCAAUUUUUUUUUGCCACACUGAAUUAAAGCUCCAGUGUACUGUUGAAAGAUUUAAAUGAAGAUGAGUUGACAAAAAUACGUAUAUAUUGCACAGAAAAAUAUAUUUGUAGAGUAGUAUAUUUCAUAUGCAGUUAAUGUUAAUAUAUAUAAAAAAUAUAUAUUAUAUAUUACCAGUUUGAUGUUCAAUGAUGAGGUAGAAAUGCCUUAGUUUGUGGUGAGUGAAGGUGAGCCUAACAGGAGGUUUUUUAGAAUUACAUCUGAUAAUAUGAAUUAAUAACAUUCAGUAAGUUAAGAAAUCUUACUUUAAUCUUCAGAAUUUAGUU